GAUCCGGCCCUCCGCGGCUCCUGCGCGACCCCACGCAAAAGCGCCCCGUGCGAAGAGCGCGGCCAGCCAGUCCGCAAAGGGCCUCGGGCAGUGCGGGCAGCACGAACGGCGCGAUCGGGGAGCAGGCGCGGCUACGCUCCGCCUCAGUGAUGUCGCCGGGAGGAUCUCCGCGCGGCUACCUCCUCUUCCGCCGCCUUCCUCCCACGCCUUCACCUCCCUCCCCCGCCGCGCUCUGCGGCGAAAAGGAGCGGGCUCCCAGGCCACCUCCCCUCUCUCCACCCAGGGGCCGCGCGUCAGUGGACCUGCAGCCCAGGCAACGGGGCUGCGGACGGCGCGCGUGCCCUGCCUCGCCUCACGCCGGUAGCUGAUGCUCCCGCGGCAGCUGCCACCCCAGCGCCCCAGCCACGGCUUCAGAGGCUCUCGCACGCUGGCUUUUUUUUUUUCCCCCCGCUUUGGUGAACUCGCAGUACUUGGGCUGAGCCCGAAAUCUCGCGAGAUGCUGCAGGCGUCAGUGCGGCUUCCCACUAGGCGCGUGGUACCCGAGGCCGGGCCGGAGCCGCAGGCCAGCCGCGAUUCCUUCGGGCGAUGCUGGGGGCUUUCCGGUCGGGGCCGCAGCCGCUUCCGGAGCCGCGGGCGAGGUGCGUUCCCCAGCCUGGUUUGCUCUGGGCUCUGACCCGCCGCCGCGAAUCUCCGCUCGUAACUCCGGGCCUGAACCUGGAGGAGGGAGGAUUUCCUCUGUGCAGCUUUCGAGCGGUAGACUCACCCUGCCAGGCAGACCUAGAUUGGCAUAACCAGAGAUCAGUUCCAGUUGUGAUGCAGUGGGUGUCUACACACUUCUGAUGACACCUUUAUUUUAAAAGCUGAUGUUCCAAGGUGCAAGCGGUCUUCUCUGUCUUCUUUAUGGCCAGUAAAAUUCUCCAGAAGAGAUUUAUGGCAGCCUCACUCCCAGUAGUUUCUGCAUUUAGUGAGAUAAGGAAUGGAUUUUCUUCUGUGUAUUGCUGACACGAACAGGAGACGGAAAUACUGAGUAGAAGAGGGCGGUUCCCUGGCUAAGGCCCCACCCUCAAGCCUGGAUACCCGCGGCCCUAAAUGAGAAGAGGCGUUUCUGUUUGGGGCCCAAAAAGUUGCUUUUUGACCCACCACGCCCCCUAUCCUGCCCCCAUAUAAACCCCAAACCCCAACCUCCAGAGCAUACCAGCAGGUGAGGAGAUACGAGGCAAGCCGACUGACGGCAAAACGACGUAGCAGAGAAAGAGAGAAGAGGAGGGACGUCUGGACACCGAGAGAUGUUUGGCUCGGGGCAGUCAGAGCGGAGUCCAGCCCCUGGGCGGCCCAACUCCAGGGGAAGAUCACCUUCCCACUUCAUCCAUCCCCACCCUUCCAGCUCCCCAUCCAUCCUGCUGAAAGCCAUUUCCACCACUCAAUAAAACCUCGCAUUCAUCCUUCAAGUCCGUGUGUGACCCGAUUUUUCCUGGAUUCUGGAAAAGAGCUCGGAAUACAGAAAGCUGUCCCCUGGUCCUUUGCCCUUGUGAAAAAGCAGAAGGUCCAUUGAGCUGGUUAACACUCCAGCUGUCUGUGGUGGCCAAGCUGAAAGAGCUUUGUAACACUGGGGUUGCAGGCACCCACCUCUAGACGCUACCGCAGAGCCAGAGCCCAAAGCCCUCACCCCGGCCUCUGCACUUGCCCAUCUGCGUGCUCCCCCUCUCGCAAGGGGUUUCUGCAGAGGGGGCUACUGAACAGGUGAGCCACACCCCUGUCGCACGCCCUGCAAGGGGAAUCAGGGAACUCUUCCGUUUCAUUGCUUUGACCACAUCCUAUAAAUCUUGUUCUCCUUGUCUUUCAGCUCCAAUUUGUUUAUACAUUCAGUUUUUACUUUUGACUUUACUCAUGAUUUAUUAUAGAAAGAUGUUUAACAAUUUUCAAGCAAAUGGAAUAAUUUUUGCUCCUCUUUCGUUGUUAAUUUAUUAUUCAUUGGAGUUAGAAAAUUGUUGCUAAAAUAAAUUCUGCAUUUUGAAAUUU
rnacentral:lncRNA from 10 species